GGUUCAACUACCUGAUGCAGGGCGGACAUCCAGACCCAGACAUGUCCACGGCCCACAUAGUAUUGUUACCCAAACCGGGAAAAGAUACGACUUACCCCGAACAUUACAGACCCAUAUUGUUGAUCAACCACGACGUAAAAAUACUAGCCAAGAUACUAGCGGACAGACUAUCUCCACACUUAACGAACCUAGUCCACGCAGAUCAGGUGGGCUUCAUCCCCGG